rnacentral:rRNA from 1 species
CGCUGGCGGCACGCCUAACACAUGCAAGUCGAACGAAGUAGCAAUACUUAGUGGCAGACGGGUGAGUAACAUGUAGGUAUCUACCCUUUGGCCUGGAAUAACACGAGGAAACUUGUGCUAAUACCGGAUAAGUCUUUACGGAGAAAGCUUUAUGCACCAUUGGAUGAGCCUGCACUUGAUUAGUUUGUUGGUGGGGUAAUGGCCUACCAAGACUGUGAUCAAUAGCUGAUUUGAGAGGAUGAUCAGCCACAUUGGGACUGAGACACGGCCCAAACUCCUACGGGAGGCAGCAGUGGGGAAUCUUGCACAAUGGAGGAAACUCUGAUGCAGCGAUGCCGCGUGAGUGAAGAAGGCCUUUGGGUUGUAAAGCUCUUUCGUCGGGGAAGAAAAUGACUGUACCCGAAUAAGAAGGUCCGGCUAACUUCGUGCCAGCAGCCGCGGUAAUACGAAGGGACCUAGCGUAGUUCGGAAUUACUGGGCUUAAAGAGUUCGUAGGUGGUUGAAAAAGUUGGUGGUGAAAUCCCAGAGCUUAACUCUGGAACUGCCAUCAAAACUUUUCAGCUAGAGUUUGAUAGAGGAAAGCAGAAUUUCUAGUGUAGAGGUGAAAUUCGUAGAUAUUAGAAAGAAUACCAAUUGCGAAGGCAGCUUUCUGGAUCAUUACUGACACUGAGGAACGAAAGCAUGGGUAGCGAAGAGGAUUAGAUACCCUCGUAGUCCAUGCCGUAAACGAUGUGUGUUAGACGUUGGAAAUUUAUUUUCAGUGUCGCAGCGAAAGCGAUAAACACACCGCCUGGGGAGUACGACCGC